rnacentral:lncRNA from 1 species
UGACUUAAGCAAUAGAAACUUACUUUCUUACUGUUCUGGAGACCAACAAUGUCGGCAGGUUGAUUCUUUCUGAGGGCUGAGAAAAAAAAAAAAAAUCUGUUAUAGGCCUUUCUGCUUGGCUAUAGAUGAUUGUCUUCAUGUUACCACGGCUUUCUCUCUACAUGUCUGUUUCUGUGUCCAAUUUCACCCUUGUAUAAGGAUGACAGUUUAUUGGUUUAGGUCCCGUUCUAUGACCUCAUUUUAACUGAAUUACCACUGUGAACACCCUGUCUUCAAAACUGUCACAUUAUGAGGUACUACAGGUUAGGAUUCUACCUUUAGGAAGACACCACUCAACAUAUAACACUAAAUUUUCUUACCUGUGACAAGGCACUAAUAAAAUUAUUUACCUAUUAUAUGCGCUAGAAGGGGCUCAGGCUUAUGACUUGCUUAGACCAGUUCUUGCUACAAAGUAAGCACUCAGUAAAUUAUCACUAGUGUUGCAAGUAUCAACCAAGGAAUGGAGAAUGUUCUCCAUCCCUGCCUCUCCAUCCCGACAGCUCAAAGUGAGGCUGGUUAACAAGAAAGCAAACCACCAAAAUCUCUUUCAGUUUCUUAUGGAAGUGAUCACAGUGGCUCUUAACUCAUCAUCCACUUGGAUGUAAGCAUUCUGCACCAAGCAGUUUCCUUCUAGAAACUGGAAAAAGGAGGCAGACAACACUUUUCUGUUUUCCUCUUGGAAAAGAUAAACUUCAUUGCAUCUGUAAACACAGACUGACAGCAUCUGAUGGAUGAGCUUGUAUAACCACGGCCUAGGGCUGCAGCAUCCUGACCCACACUACCUCAGCGUCCCUCGUGCAGGACCAGAGAAGCCAGCACAGCCCUGGGAAAGGCUGUGUUUAACUGUCUGUGCCGAGUCAGCAGCUAGUGUGUGAGGAUGGCUAUUUGUGGGAGGCGCCCAAGAGUGGCUGUUAUUUUAAAAGAAAUUCUCAUAGAAAAAAAAAUCACUGGAUUUAAAAUAAAUAAAUGGGCUCAUGGAAGUUGAAUAAAAUUGUAAUGUAAGUGAAACGCUGAGUGUUGGAUCAUGUCCACCCACCACUGAUGAAGACAGCUGUCACAAGCUCUGAGUUUUCAGUUCUUUCAGGAUUCACAUGAUAAUAAUGGUAAUAAAAAAAAGAAUGCUUUCAAAAUAAUAGUUCAUGUCAUUGAUAAUGCUUGCUCAUAAAAUUGAAAAGGUAGCUUGCUUUGGGCACACACACAUGACUGGCUCUAAUAAUAGAAAAGAUGCACACAUAUGCUUUGUUUUAUUUAUUCACAUUCUAACAUCUCUGAAAUUGGUAUGCAUAUUAAAAUG